rnacentral:rRNA from 1 species
GCGCGAAAACUUUACAAUGCUGGCAACAGCGAUAAGGGAACCUCGAGUGCCAGGUUACAAAUCUGGCUGUCGAGAUGCCUGAAAAGCAUUUCAUAGCAAGGGCCGGGCAAGACCGGUGCCAGCCGCCGCGGUAACACCGGCGGCUCGAGUGGUAACCGUUAUUAUUGGGUCUAAAGGGUCUGUAGCCGGCCGGAUAAGUCUCUUGAGAAAUCUGGCAGCUUAACUGUCAGGCUUGCAGGAGAUACUGUCUGGCUCGAGGCCGGGAGAGGUGAGAGGUACUUCAGGGGUAGGGGUGAAAUCUUGUAAUCCUUGAAGGACCACCAGGGGCGUAGGCGUCUCACCAGAACGGACCUGACGGCAAGGGACGAAAGCUAGGGGCACGAACC